AGUUUGAUCCUGGCUCAGGAUGAACGCUGGCGGCGUGCCUAACACAUGCAAGUCGAGCGAUUCUCUUCGGAGAAGAGCGGCGGACGGGUGAGUAACGCGUGGGUAACCUGCCCUGUACACACGGAUAACAUACCGAAAGGUAUGCUAAUACGAGAUAAUAUACUUUUAUCACAUGGUAGAAGUAUCAAAGCUUUUGCGGUACAGGAUGGACCCGCGUCUGAUUAGCUAGUUGGUAAGGUAACGGCUUACCAAGGCGACGAUCAGUAGCCGACCUGAGAGGGUGAUCGGCCACAUUGGAACUGAGACACGGUCCAAACUCCUACGGGAGGCAGCAGUGGGGAAUAUUGCACAAUGGGCGAAAGCCUGAUGCAGCAACGCCGCGUGAGUGAUGAAGGCCUUCGGGUCGUAAAGCUCUGUCCUCAAGGAAGAUAAUGACGGUACUUGAGGAGGAAGCCCCGGCUAACUACGUGCCAGCAGCCGCGGUAAUACGUAGGGGGCUAGCGUUAUCCGGAAUUACUGGGCGUAAAGGGUGCGUAGGUGGUUUCUUAAGUCAGAGGUGAAAGGCUACGGCUCAACCGUAGUAAGCCUUUGAAACUGGGAAACUUGAGUGCAGGAGAGGAGAGUGGAAUUCCUAGUGUAGCGGUGAAAUGCGUAGAUAUUAGGAGGAACACCAGUUGCGAAGGCGGCUCUCUGGACUGUAACUGACACUGAGGCACGAAAGCGUGGGGAGCAAACAGGAUUAGAUACCCUGGUAGUCCACGCCGUAAACGAUGAGUACUAGCUGUCGGAGGUUACCCCCUUCGGUGGCGCAGCUAACGCAUUAAGUACUCCGCCUGGGAAGUACGCUCGCAAGAGUGAAACUCAAAUGAAUUGACG
rnacentral:rRNA from 1 species